UCGAGAAUCUUCCGCAAUGGACGAAAGUCUGACGGAGCGAUGCCGCGUGCGGGAUGAAGGCCUUCGGGUUGUAAACCGCUGUCAGUGGGGAGGAAAUUUUGACCGAACCGCAGAGGAAGUCCGGGCUAAGUACGUGCCAGCAGCCGCGGUAACACGUACCGGACGAACGUUAUUCGGAAUCACUGGGCUUAAAGAGUGCGUAGGCGGCUUUGUAGGUGAGGUGUGAAAGCCCACGGCUCAACCGUGGAAUUGCGCUUCAAACCACAAGGCUUGAGGGAGACAGGGGUGAGCGGAACUGAUGGUGGAGCGGUGAAAUGCGUUGAUAUCAUCAGGAACACCGGUGGCGAAGGCGGCUCACUGGGUCUUUUCUGACGCUGAGGCACGAAAGCUAGGGUAGCGAACGGGAUUAGAUACCCGUGUAGUCC
rnacentral:rRNA from 1 species